UGGGGAAUAUUGCACAAUGGGCGCAAGCUUGAUGCAGCGACGCCGCGUGGGGGAUGACGGCCUUCGGGUUGUAAACUCCUUUCGCUAGGGACGAAGCUUUUUGUGACGGUACCUAGAUAAGAAGCACCGGCUAACUACGUGCCAGCAGCCGCGGUAAUACGUAGGGUGCGAGCGUUGUCCGGAAUUACUGGGCGUAAAGGGCUCGUAGGUGGUUUGUCGCGUCGUCUGUGAAAUUCCGGGGCUUAACUCCGGGCGUGCAGGCGAUACGGGCAUAACUUGAGUACUGUAGGGGUAACUGGAAUUCCUGGUGUAGCGGUGAAAUGCGCAGAUAUCAGGAGGAACACCGAUGGCGAAGGCAGGUUACUGGGCAGUUACUGACGCUGAGGAGCGAAAGCAUGGGUAGCGAACAGG
rnacentral:rRNA from 1 species